AGCAGCCGCGGUAAUACGAAGGGGGCUAGCGUUGUUCGGAAUCACUGGGUGUAUAGCGCACGUAGGCGGAUCUUUAUGUCAGGGGUGAAAUCCCGGGGCUCAACCCCGGAACUGCCUUUGAUUCUGGCGGUCUGGAGUUCGGGAGAGGUGAGUGGAAUUCCGAGUGUAGAGGUGAAAUUCGUAGAUAUUCGCAAGAACACCAGUGGCGAAGGCGGCUCACUGGCCCUAUUCUGACGCUGAGGUGCGAAAGCGUGGGGAGCAAACAGGAUUAGAUCCCCUGGUAGUCCACGCCGUAAACGAUGAAUGCUAGACCUCGGCCAGCAUGCCCCUCAGUGGCGCAGCU
rnacentral:rRNA from 1 species